CCGAGCUGGCGCGGCCAAUGGUGCCCGAGGCGAGGGGGAGGGACCAAUGGAGCGCCGGGCAGAGCCAGACCCAAGCAAAAACAAAGCCGUCUCUCUGAAACAAAAACGAAACAGACGUGGCCGGGGAAAGCCAAAUGUUUCCUGCCAUCCUGGUGAACACAAUCGAGCAAGGCAGUGAAGCAAAAAUCAUUAGGUGGCUGGAUCCAGACACAUCACGUGCCAGUUUGGGUUCCAAGGUGCUUCCCUCUGAAUUUUCACCUGCCUUGCCAAAAAUGAUUGAUUACGCUGGGCCGACUGGGUGUCCAGCAAUACCCAACAAAUGACUUUGGCCCCUAACAGCAGGCCUUGGCCAGAUAGAAAUCAAUAUUUCACCAUUAAAAUCUAUCAAAGAAGAGUUAAGGCACCAUCUGUCCCUGCCGCCUCUCUAUGGUGUGUGAACAUUAAAUCCGACACUUGUACUACAUGGGUAAUCAAUAUAUAGUGGUUCACAGAUCAUUUGUGGUUCCCUUUUAGCAGUGAUGGAUGUCUGGAAUCAUUGUGAUUCAUUUUGUCAGACCAUUAAACAAGAUUCUGUCCAGUUCCUUCCUGAUUUCA